rnacentral:rRNA from 1 species
UGGGGAAUAUUGGACAAUGGGCGCAAGCCUGAACCAGCCAUGCCGCGUGAAGGAUGAAGGUCCUCUGGAUUGUAAACUUCUUUUAUCUGGGACGAAAACGGGAUUUUUAUCUCAAUUGACGGUACCAGAGGAAUAAGCACCGGCUAACUCCGUGCCAGCAGCCGCGGUAAUACGGAGGGUGCGAGCGUUAUCCGGAUUUACUGGGUUUAAAGGGUGCGUAGGUGGGCUUAUAAGUCAGUGGUGAAAUCUCCGAGCUUAACUUGGAAACUGCCGUUGAUACUAUAGGUCUUGAAUUAUCUGGAAGUAAGCGGAAUAUGUCAUGUAGCGGUGAAAUGCUUAGAUAUGACAUAGAACACCCAUUACGAAGGCAGCUUACUACAUAUAAAUUGACGCUGAGGCACGAAAGCGUGGGGA